GUGCAGCGCGCCUAGGGUUCCGGUUCCGAAAGGAAUGCUGGUCCAAGAGGCGCAAGCCAGCCAGAGUUUCACAGGCUGGUGACACGGCGGGCCAAAAUCCCGGGAGAC
rnacentral:sRNA from 2 species